AUGGGGAAUCAGUGGAUAUCAUACACUAAAAAGUUAUUUAAGGACAGUGGGAGAGCCACGAGCACAGCUCCAUCUGUCUUCCCCUUGGUUUCCGGCUGUGAUCCCAACUUUGAAAGUUUAAGUUUCCUGGGCUGCCUUGUGUCUGGCUAUUUCCCUGAGCCAGUGACUGUGAGCUGGAACCCGGAAGUCUUGGAUGGGAUAAUCACAACUUUUCCAGCUGCCUAUGAUUCCACAUCUGGACUCUAUACCACUACCAGCCAACUUGCCAUCUCAGACGGGAGUUCCCAGGAAUUCACCUGCAGCGUGGACCACUUACCUACUAGCACCAAAAUCGAAAAACAUGUCUCUACAGGCCCUACAAAAAAUGGCCCUGUGAUACCACCCACAGUAAAGCUCUUCCAUUCAUCCUGUGACCCACGAGGAGAUGCUCAUUCCACCAUCCAGCUGCUCUGCCUUGUAUCUGGCUUCUCCCCAGCCCGUGUCAAAGUAACUUGGCUAGUGGAUGGACAAGAAGCUGAGAACCUCUUCCCCUACACAACCAGGCCCAAGAGGGAAGGAAGUCAGACCUUUUCUCUACAAAGUGAACUCAACAUCACACAAGGCCAGUGGACAUCAUUGAAGACCUACACCUGUCAAGUCACACACAAUGGCAGCAUCUAUAGAGACAAUGCCCAAAAGUGUUCAGACACUGACCCACGGGGCAUCAGUGCCUACCUUAGUCCACCUAGUGCCUUUGACCUUUACGUCAGCAAAGCACCCGUGCUCACAUGCCUGGUAGUGGACCUGGCCAGUGCAGAGAAUGUGAAGGUUUCUUGGACCCGAGAAAGUGGAGGUACCGUCAGUCCAAGCUCACCAGUGGUGAAGGAGCAGUAUAAUGGCACUGUCACAAUAACUUCAACCUUGCCUGUCCAGACAGAUGACUGGGUAGAGGGUGAAACAUAUACUUGCCAUUUGGAACACCCUGACCUGCCCUUCCCCCUCAUCAGGACCAUCUCCAAGGCUCCAGGCAAACGUAUAGCCCCUGAGGUAUACAUGUUCCCUCCAUCUGAAGAGGAAAAGGGAAACACUGUCUCCCUCACCUGCCUUAUUCGGGCCUUCUACCCUGCUGACAUCACUGUCCAAUGGCUGCGUGAUAACAAGGAUGACCACACUGGACACCAUACUACCACCCGGCCCCACAAAGACCAUGGACCUGACCCUUCCUUCUUCCUCUACAGCAGAAUGGUUGUCAACAGGUCUCAUUGGCAAGAAGGCCAUACAUUCACCUGCCGUGUGGUGCAUGAAGCCCUACCUGGCACCCGCACCCUCGACAAAAGCCUGCAUUAUUCAGCUGAUAUGAGUCAUGAGGACAUAUGCACAGAAAUGGAGAAUGAGGAAUUGGAUGGGCUCUGGACAACCAUCUAUGUCUUCAUCGUCCUCUUCCUUCUCAGCGUUUGCUAUAGUGCCACAGUCACCCUGUUCAAGGUGAAGUGGAUUUUUUCUGCAGUCCUGCAACUGAAGCCUGGGACCUUUCAUGACUACAAGAACAUGAUCCAGCAGGCCACCUAGACUUCAGACUAGGGGAGCCCCUGCCCCAGGACUCCAUGGGGGGCAAGUGUACCCAGCAACAUGAAGAUCUCUUCCCAAGUGGACAAAUGCCUAACAUAAUUGGGUCACUGAGUUCAAGACUUCUUUCCCCUGUACCUUAGGCCAUAAAGUUUCCCUAACUUCUAAAACACACGCUGUCCCUAGGCCUAGCCUAAGGACAAGAAAUGAGGUCCCUUAGUGUAAGGCUUCCUCCUGCCUUGGGUCCAAGAUGAGAUGUGCCUAAGCAGGAGUCAAGAGCCACAACUCUAGUGGGGUUCAUAGCAUUGAGUCUGUCUGAGUCAGAGUCUUAGAGCUAGGGGAAAUCGCACAGACAUAAGCCACUCACCUUUCAGAGGAAAAAAUGGAGACCUAGAGAAAGGAAGUGACUUGUCUAAGCCUCAUAGUAAAUUUGUAGCAGAUUCAGAGAGGCCCCUAUCCCAGACCCAAAGACUAGACUGUUCAACUGAUCUAUGGCCUUGAUGGACCUUCCUGCCCCAGCCCCCCAUGCCGGAAUCCUAGGCCAUCUCCCUCUGUCCCAUUCUCUCAUUUCCUUAGGAAUGGCCUCAUCAGGCCAGAGUAGGAACUAUGCAACCUUAAAUGAGGAUGUGUUACAGAAGGAGACUGGGUGAAAGGAUAUGUGGUGGGCCACUUCAGGGCACUCCCACCCAUGAGGCCCAGGUGUCCUUCUCUGACUGAUUAAGACCCUGAACCUACUAGAUCUCAAUCCAAUUCAAACCAGAGUCCAUAGGCCAGCUCAAUCAACAGUUCAGGAUGGCACAGAGAAUAGUCCAGAAAUCAGAGCUCAAAUGGUUGUGUGGUAUAUGGGAAAGAGCCCUUGGAUCAAAGGAUCCAAGUUCAAAUACUGCAUCUGAUACUUACUAUUUCUGUCACCCUAAGCAAAACGCUGAGCCUCGCUGCGCCUUGGAGAAGGUAAGACUAGAUGAUUUCUAAGGUCCCUUCUAUGUCAAUGAUCCCAUUCAAUAAAUACAAGAACAUAGUCCAUUCCACACCCCAAAUCUUAGAAUCCAGUCCAUAGCCUAGAACCAAGCUCAGAUUUAGGCCAUAGCAUAAAAACUAGCCCAGAAACCUAGAAACCAGAGACCAGCUUAGAGCUCAUCUCUCAGAGCCUUGCCCUGCUCCUUCUCUUGGAUCAAGUCUACUAUCAUUGCAAAUAUAAAUUCUUGUAGCCAAAGCAAAGUCAUCCAAUUGCAGCACAUCCACAACCAGCUUUAUUUGUUCCUUGCUUCUCAGCCUCAUUUGUUGUGGGUCCCCACACACACAUACACACAUAACACCACAGGGUCCCAUUCCACUCCUCCUACUCUCCCCCUGACACAGCUUCCUCUAUGAGAGAAUGACCCCUGAACCCUUUUGUUGGGACAAGAAAAACAACUGUUCCUAUGACUCUGAGAGAUGAUUUUCAAAGUAUCCACUUAUUCAUCUCUUUCUGGCCAAAGCAAUCUUUUAGCAAAAAAAAAAAUCUGUGUUUCUUCCCAGCUGGAUCCAAAGCUCAGAGUCCACCCCAAUCUAUGCUCUAAAACAAAAGGGAGGAACCUUUGGGCAAAGCUGGGGUCAAUUAGGGGUGGGGACCAUCAAACCUGGAAGCAGAUAUUGUCUCUCUGUGUUUGUCGUUGCAGCGAGAUCAGAAAUCUACA